rnacentral:rRNA from 1 species
AGAGUUUGAUCCUGGCUCAGGAUGAACGCUAGCGGCAGGCCUAACACAUGCAAGUCGAGGGGCAACACGUGUAGCAAUACAUGGUGGCGACCGGCGCACGGGUGAGUAACGCGUAUGCAACCUACCCAUAACAAGGGGAUAGCUUUCGGAAACGGAAAUUAAUACCCUAUAGUAUCCCAAAGUCGCAUGGCUUAAGGAUUAAAACUACGGUGGUUAUGGAUGGGCAUGCGUGCCAUUAGCUAGUUGGCGGGGUAACGGCCCACCAAGGCGAUGAUGGCUAGGGGGUCUAAAAGGAUGAUCCCCCACACUGGUACUGAGACACGGACCAGACUCCUACGGGAGGCAGCAGUGAGGAAUAUUGGUCAAUGGGCGAGAGCCUGAACCAGCCAUGCCGCGUGCAGGAAGACGGCCCUACGGGUUGUAAACUGCUUUUGUGUGGGAAGAAAACGCACUACGUGUAGUGCACUGACGGUACCAUAUGAAUAAGCAUCGGCUAACUCCGUGCCAGCAGCCGCGGUAAUACGGAGGAUGCGAGCGUUAUCCGGAUUUAUUAGGUUUAAAGGGUGUGUAGGCGGACGAUUAAGUCAGUGGUGAAAUCUCAGAGCUUAACUCUGAAACUGCCAUAGAUACUGGUUGUCUUGAGUACAGUUGAAGUAGGCGGAAUGUGUAAUGUAGCGGUGAAAUGCUUAGAUAUGUCGCAGAACGCCGAUUGCGAAGGCAGCUCGCCGGGCCGAUAUUGACGCUGAGGCACGAAAGCGUGGGGAUCGAACAGGAUUAGAUACCCUGGUAGUCC